CCUACGGGAGGCAGCAGUGGGGAAUAUUGGUCAAUGGGCGCAAGCCUGACCCAGCAAUGCCGCGUGAAGGAAGAAUGCUUUCGGGUUUUAAACUUCCUUGACACGGGAAGUGAAGAAGACGGUACCCUGAAAACAAGCCACGGCUAACUACGUGCCAGCAGCCGCGGUAAUACGUAGGUGGCAAGCGUUGUCCGGAUUUACUGGGUGUAAAGGGCGUGUAGCCGGGAAGGCAAGUCAGAUGUGAAAUCUGGAGGCUCAACCUUCAAAUUGCAUUUGAAACUGGUUUUCUUGAGUACUGGAGAGGCAGACGGAAUUCGUGGUGUAGCGGUGAAAUGCGUAGAUAUAAGGAGGAACACCAGUGGCGAAGGCGGUCUGCUGGACAGCAACUGACGGUGAGGCGCGAAAGCGUGGGGAGCAAACAGGAUUAGAUACCCCAGUAGUC
rnacentral:rRNA from 1 species